rnacentral:rRNA from 1 species
AGCUCCAAUAGCGUAUAUUAAAGUUGUUGCAGUUAAAAAGCUCGUAGUUGGAUUUCUGGCGUGAGGUGCUUGACCCGCCGCGGUUUACGCGUGUGAGUGUCGGUGUGCCUCGGCCAUCCUUCUAGAAAUUGGCUCUGCCCUUCAUUGGGUUGGGGUCAGGAUCUAGAUCUUUUACUUUGAAAAAAUUAGAGUGUUUAAAGCAAGCGUUGCGUGAAUACAUUAGCAUGGAAUAAUAACUUAGGACUUCGGUUCUAUUUUGUUGGUUUCUAGGACUGAAGUAAUGAUUGAUAGGGAUAGUUGGGGGUGCUAGUAUUCAGCGGCCAGAGGUGAAAUUCUUGGAUUCGCUGAAGACUAACUUAUGCGAAAGCAUUCACCAAGGAUGUCUUCUUUAAUCAAGAAC